rnacentral:rRNA from 1 species
AUUCCGGAGAGGGAGCCUGAGAAAUGGCUACCACUUCUACGGAAGGCAGCAGGCGCGCAAAUUACUCAAUCCCAAUACGGGGAAGUAGUGACAAAAAAUACUAAUGCCUUUCCAUUUAUAUGGGGGGCAAUUGGAAUAAGUACAACUUAAAUCGCUUAGCAAAAGUGAUUGGAGGGCAAGUCUGGUGCCAGCAGCCGCGGUAAUUCCAGCUCCAAUAGCGUAUACUAAAUUUGUUGCAGUUAAAAAGCUCGUAGUUGAGAUUGAGAUUUCUUAGGUUUAGAGUCGCUUGGCCUUCGGGUUUGAGUUUGAUUCGUAAAGCUCUAUAGUAGAAUUCCAUUUUAUUAUUAGGGUUACUAAGAAAUUUCUAUCUGCCCAUGGUAGCUAGCAAUAGUUAUCAAUCGGGUGAUCUACUGUGAGAAAAUUGUAGUGUUCAAAGCAGGCGUCUUACGUUUGUUCAAUGCAGCAUGGUAUAGUAAAAUAUGACACUAAAUAUAUGUUGGUUGUAUAUUCUUAGUGUAAUGACUAAUAGGGAAGGGCGGGGCCGUUCAUAUUGGG